UGCCCAGCAACUCCUAUCCCUACCUCCACGCGGAGCAACCUUGGGGAAGAUCGGGUAACCAACCCCUGUGGGAACUUUAGUCGUAGGCUGACAGGGAAGG
rnacentral:ribozyme from 1 species